UGACACUCAGAAGCAAGCUGGAGCUCGGGGAGGGGGGGGGUGGCAUUGCUGACGAUGGCACAGAGCAGCUGAGCUCAAAGGCUGGCAAAUUCAAGAGGUUUUAGGGUGAUAAAAUAAAAAGUGGCACAAAGUGGCAGCAUGUCACAGUCUCUCCUCUCCCCCAUCAGCUGUCUACAAUAGAAGCUGUGAUAGGAUCUGUGAAAUCAUCUCUACCGCUCAAGGGGGAGAGAAAGUCAACUGAAGAAGCCAGCAGGAACAAGGUCACAGCUCAAGCCAGUAACACAGAAGGAACAAGCCCUCAGCCCCUUACAACAUCCCUGAACCACCUAGCUCUGUCUGAACUACAGACCCUUCAGGACUGAAUGGUGUUCCCAGGAAGCAGCUGCCCAUCAGGAGCUCACUCCAGCAGGGUGGGCACAGUUCUCCGGUACUUGUGAAAGCAUUCUUGCAAGCAAGCUGAAGAAGUAUUGGAUUAGAUGAAUGGACUGUAAGGUGGAGAAAGCUCACCGGAUCAACAGUCUCAACAGCUCGAGAAUGGUUUCCUGCCAUGGCACUGGGCCAAGGCAUCUCUGAGUCCCAGUGCAAACACUUCCACGCUGCCAGGGUGGAGUCUGCUCUACUGGACAGAUGGAGGGAGGUAACAAGCUGGAGACAAGUGAGCUCUCUUGAAAGCUGUUUUCCAGAGGGUUGGUUUGUACUCAGAUUUUUUUUUAAUGUUUCCCUCCCCCCUUUAAAAAAUGAGAAGAGAUCUGCCCUGUCACAGCUAUCAGGGAAAACAGGGGCCUUUGCUACCAUGUAAGGCUUUCAAUAAAGAAAUUAUAAAAUUGUGGAGAAAUCCCAAAUUUUCUCUCUGGGGCUUUAAUACACCCUGAUACAGAGCUAGUCUGUGCCUAAGCACCUACUUUCCUCAAGUGGGACCCCAAGAAAUAGCAGCCCGGUCCCAGCUCCCUCCCCACCCAGUUACUGCUCAUGGCAGAUUCAAACACUCCUCCACAGUUUGAAGUCGCUCUCCUUAUCUUUCCCACCACACCAAGGUGCAAACUUUGAGAUAAGUGUGUGUCUAAUCUAUGAAAGGCAUCACACUGCAGCCCCUGCCACUGUCACAGGCAUUUUUAGAUUUAGCCUAAAAAAGUGGGGGAGCUUGCAAAUCCUAGGGACUCUUGUUUCAUGAACUGAUGGAAAGAUCCACUGCUUUUUGUUUCUGGCUCUCUCUUUCCUACAUAUUCUCCCCUUCAGCAUUUGAGAGCAGGGCUCUGAUGCUGCAAUGUACCUCUUGCAGGCUCAGGCCAGAACAUUGCGCUGCUGCAAAUGAGUUACAAAUGAGCCUGAUCUGUCUGUGUCAUUUUUUUUUUUUUAGUACAUCGGGAUCUAAUCUUCAUUUAGCUUCCCUGCCAGCUGCUGCACUUGAAAUAAUAAUCAGUGAAACCAAUGAAGCUGCUUUCCCUGUCCAAGAUGAGCGAAAUGUAGUGAUCCACCACACAGACACUAAGGGUUUUGAGAAUCUUGGUUUUAACAAAAAGGUGGAAGGAAUUGCUUUUAACUGUGAGUUAAUUGGAAAAUAUCCUCUUACAGGAAAGGGAUUGAAAAAAAAAGAACAGAUUAAAUACCACCCCCCACCCCAGCUACUAAUGACAUCCUCGCUUAUUAAGAUGGAAAGAAUGUUAUUAACUCAAUUUACUUUGGGUUAUAAAAAGUCAGUAAGUCAGACACAGGGCUGCAGUUUUGGGCAAGAUGAGCAGGGGGCCUUGUUAAUAAAUAACUGUUUGCACUAGA